GGGGAUUUAGCUCAGUGGUAGAGCGCUUGCCUAGCAAGCACAAGGCCCUGGGUUCGGUCCCCAGCUCA
rfam:Rattus norvegicus chromosome 16, whole genome shotgun sequence.